rnacentral:lncRNA from 1 species
UCCGUUCGCCUCGGCCUCCCAAAGUGCCAGGAUUACAGGCAUGAGCCACCGCGCCUGGCCGUAACUGAUUCUUUAUAUAUAAUUGUUGCCUAAUUCCUAGCAUACUGAGAUCCUAUUUAUUUAUUUAUUUAUUUAUUUAUUUAUUUAUUUAUUUAUUUUCUGAGAUCUAAUUUAGACCAUGGAGAAGAAAAACAAAAAGGUGGUAUUAAUAAACUGCUUUGGGGAGUAAAAGAACCUCUUAGAAUCCACGACAUCAUGGAUGGAAGAGAUCCUUAAGGAGGGAAUGAAGCACAGCUCAGAGUGGGAAGGUUAGCAAUGUUCAAGACCAAAGUUAAUCAUCUCUACAUGAGUCAAUUGAAAGAAAAGAAUUAAAAGCAUUAAAAAAAAAACAAUAUGAGUAAUGGGAGGAGCUGAUGAAGCCUGCUGCCCAGAUGAGGAUUGGAAACUAUUUAAACUGGAUAAUACAGUAUGUGUUUUAGCUCUGAGAAAACAGAAGUUGAACUUUUGAGUAGUAAUCAAGGGCACGGUCUCAAAGUAUUUGCAAAUAGUGCUGGUAUGGAGAACAGAUGCCGACAUUAUUGCCAAUGGGAAUCACAAUGUGAUAGUUGGAGUGAGAGACUAAAAGAAACCACAGGGAAUUUUUGCAGAAAGCUUGGCAUUGAACAUGAUUUAUGGUUGAUUUAAGAAGGAGACAAGGAAAAUAAGGCUACAGUGUAUACCAUCUGACUGCUGCGGACCAAGGAUGUAAACAGUUAGCCAUGGCUCUCCAACCUCCUGGAAAUCAGGAUUCUGCUCAUACAGAAAGGCGCCAGAAUGUUUGUCUGAGUUAAGUGCAUACUUCUUUUUUAGUAUCUAAGAAUAGUUAUCCUCCUUUCCUCUCCCAUUACUGCUUGGGUAUCCUUAAAAAUCCUCACCAGCUAUUAAGUAUCAUGGAGUUACGCAAAGAGGUCUGCAGGGAACUUGAUGGCUUCCCAAAGUGGAUCAGAGAACCUCACAGGAGGCCCUAGGCUUGAAAGGAUGAUUGCAGAAAGGAUGACCUACAAGUGGAUGGUCAGAUCUGGCUGCAAAUGGAUGUCUGAAAGAAAACGGGGAUCCUAGGAAACCCAUCACAGCCCUCUAUGAGCUUCAGAAACCAGCAAGAUGGGAUUUCGGAUGUUGGAAUCAUGAGGCUUUUGUUUAAGAGUUGCUUAAGAUGUUCUUCAGAUCCUGAAUUCCAGCAGAACAGCUGACAUCCACAACCAGUUUGAGGAUCCCCACAGAAGAGCUGAAUCAACAUGAGAAUGCAGUUUCUUCAUCUCUCCAGUCCAUGACUUCACCCUGCAAUCCCCACAGAAGAGCUGAAUCAACAUGAGAAUGCAGUUUCUUCAUCUCUCCAGUCCAUGACUUCACCCUGCAAUCCCCACACCUCAGCCCACUCCAAACCCCUUACAAACUCCUCAGGGAGGCAAAUCUGAGGUUUCCUUCCAUCUCCUUGUUCAGAUGCCCUAUGAUUAUUAAACCCUUUCUCUGCUGCAAUCCUUGA